UCUCUUGCAACAGACACCAUGUGGCGGUCGGUGCUGGGUGUCUCUGUUGGCCUGCAGCUGUUGACAGGUCUCUGCAGUGGGAUCAACGUGAUACAGGAGGAUCGCUUCCAAAUCAUCCGGGAAGGGAGCAAAACAAGCAUAGACUGCAAGCAUGAUGACUCGUCCUACUUAUAUGUUUUUUGGUACCGGCAGAAGAGCAACAGCGUGCAGAAGCAUCUGCAACUCAUUGGAUUCUCUAUACAUGGGAAUGACCCAGAGAUGGAGAUGACUCAAUACAGCAUAGACAGACCGGAAGUGACUCGUGCCUCCUUGUCCAUCCCUCAGGGACAAGCUGCAGACACAGCAGUGUAUUUCUGUGCAGCUAGUAAAGGCACAGUGA